UCUGAUGGCGCAAGUUUCCUUCAGUGCAUGUUUUAACUUUCGCUUAGUUCGAUUUUCUUCUCAUAAUCUGAAUUUCGUAACUCACUCAAUUCGAGAUUCCUUUGGCCCAGCACUUGAUCAGAGGGCUAUGUGGAUCGGCUGUUGAUCAGUGUCUUGGGGAUUAGCAGUUAAUUGGUCAUUGAGAGCAGCUGUAAUGCAUUUCUCUUAUCCAAUGAGGGUGUGAUGACACCCUUACUGUUGGCAUUUAAAAGAUGCAGGAAAUGCCAUGUUUGGAUUGAUUUCUAAUGCUACCCUUUCUUACUAUGUGUUGCACGUCAGCAGCUUUAUUUUAGCUGUGAACUUUGCUGGUCUUUCAGGACUUUCUAGUUGUCAUUUGCUUUAAUUGCUUUACCUUUUCAAUAGAUUUUCAUUGGGGAAACCUGGGUUCUAUGGGCGGACUUGGACUCGGGCCUAACGAGGGGAUUAAAAGACAACCAAGAUAUGGUGACUCGCAUCUGUACGGAAAGAACUGACCCAGAAGACAUCCAGUACCUCAGCUAUCCUAUCAGCUGUUGCAGUGAUGUCACUGCUCUGAUGGCAAAGUCUAUCCAUUGAGUGUCUUCCAUCUGAGCCCAACUUUCCCUAGAUUCUGUGCAGUCUUGAAUAAAACAUUUUCCUGCAUCUGCUGUAAUGAUGGUGUUUGGAAUUUGGAAUCUGGAGUGUUUAUAAUGCAUUGAUUGUCAUCUAGCCUAUUUUUUCCCCAGCUCUUUUGGGCAACAACAGCACUUUAAUAAUUUCUUUGAAGGGGACAUACAGUACUGCAUGAACACAAGUGUGCAGCUUUCAGAAUUGCCAAAAAUAUAUACCUGUCAAUCACUGACUUACUCAUAUGAACCAGUCAAAAUGCUCGUCUGUGUUUCUUCUCCACUUGUCACUUAAUGCUACAGUUUUGACUUGUUUGUUUAUUUAGUAUUAGUUUGUUAGUCUGUAUGCAGUGGCACACAAUCUUAUGGUCUUAUGUUUAAGGUAAUGUUUCAUUUUUACCAAAUACCAAAGUAAAC